GUUAAUUACAACUAGCAAGAUGGCUGGAAGCGAUAAUGAGGAAGGAGGCAAGAGACGGUCAUCUCAAGGCAAGCGGAAGCGCGGUGAUGAUGACUAUGGGGAUGACUCGGAGCGGUUCCGCAAGCUGUUCAUUGGUGGCCUGUCCUACACAACCACCAAUGAAUCUCUUAAAGAGUACUUUGAGCAGUGGGGGCAGGUGGUCGACUGCAUCGUUAUGAUGGAUCCUCAGACCAAGAGGUCGCGGGGCUUUGGCUUUGUUACAUACCAGGAACUGUCCAUGGUGGAAGACUGUAUGGCCUGUAGACCGCAUGUUGUUGACGGACGUACAGUAGACUCAAAGAGAGCCAUGCCAAAAGUGAUGGACAUUGGUAACCAAUGGCAGGGCAAGAACGCCAUGAAUGAGAGCAAGGAGUCCGUGUACAAGCUGUUUGUGGGGGGCAUCAAGGACCAGUCUACCAGUGCCUCCAUCAAGGAGGAGAUGACCCAGUUUGGUGCUGUACGCCAUGUGGAGUUGAUGAUGGACAAGACCACAGGCAGGCAUCGUGGCUUCUGCUUUGUCACGUUUGAGGACACAGACUCUGUGGAUAAGGCUGUUUUGAUGAAGAACAUUGAGAUUGAUGGGAAGGAAGUGGAGAUGAAGAAAGCAGAGGCCAAGACCAGCAGGGGAGGAGGUCGAUACAGGGAUGACAUGGACUCUGGCAUGGGCAUGGGUGGAGGAAGUAUGAGAAGCAGAAACAGAGGAAUGGGGAACCAGAUGGGAAUGGGUGGAACUAUGGGAAAUCAAAUGGGAAUGGGUGGAAAUAUGGGAAUGAAUAACAUGGGAAUGGGUGGAAAUAUGGGAAUGGGUGGUAAUAUGGGAAUGGGAAAUAUGGGAAUGGGUGGUAAUCAAAUGGGAAUGGGAAAUAUGGGCAUGAAUAACAUGGGAAUGGGCAUGAAUAAUAUGGGUAUGGGAGGGAAUAUGGGCAUGGGUAAUAUGGGCAUGGGUGGUAACAUGGGAAUGGGAAAUAUGGGCAUGAAUAACAUGGGCAUGAAUAACAUGGGAAUGGGUAUGAGUAAUAUGGGAAUGGGAGGAAACAUGGGUAUGGGUGGAAAUAUGGGCAUGGGUGGAAAUAUGGGAAUGAACAACAUGGGUUAUGGGGGAAUGAAUAAUAUGGGAAUGGGUGGAAAUAUGGGAAUGGGCAACAACAUGGGUCAGGGCACACAAGCAGCAGUGAAAUCUGAUGCAGCAACCACUGGUAGCGCUAACGCAGCUGUGACAAGCUACAGUGGACAGACCAGCUCUAACCAGACACCCGCCGUCCAGAACCAGACCAACACCCAGCAACAGCAACAGCAGAUGAUGCAGUCCAAUAUGGGGUACAACAAUAUGGGGUACAAUCAGAUGGGGUAUAACCAGAUGGGUUAUAACCAGAUGGGCAACCCUAUGAUGAACCAGUGGGGUCAGGGUCAGAUGGGAGGUCAAGGUCAGAUGGGGAUGAUGGGGGCCUCCCAGCAGCAAGGGGCCCUCACAGGGACUGGGGACCAGACAGGCACAGGCAGCUAUGGCAUGGCAUCUCAGCAAGGUUGGGGCACAGAGAGCUACAAAACAGCUGACUACAGCGGCUCUGUGGGCAACACAGCCGACACCAAGAGCUACUCAGCAGCUAAGAAAAGGUGAAAAAUGGCUGCAGUCAUGAAAGAUUUGGCACCCCUUACCCAAGCUUUCUAGUCACAGUGGUGAAUGAAGCCAGGUGCGACCGCUAGCAGACAAUCUGCAGUCAAUACAUAGGAAAAUCAUUUUGAUUAAUGGCUGCUUAUGAUGCUGUAGAUAAGGUGCUUGUUGUAGGAUUGUUGAAGAGAAAGCGUGGUGAUAACUUCAACUAUGACAGCGAAUUCCGGGCUAAGAUAGCUCACUAUGCCAUUAGUGAGGAUAUAAACAGAAUUCCAGACAUUUUUCUGCAGUCCUGGGUUGUAAAGUAAGCAAGGACAUGGAACAAAGUAUGAGUGAUCAGUAUGUGAAGGUUAAACACAGCUCCAAUGUGAUCUAAAGACACUGGCCCCAUCACCAUGUAGCGAAUCAACUCUAUGAGGAGAGUAUGGCAGUGGGUCUUAGAAUUUUAAUUGGAAUCUUAGGCGGUGAUGUGAAUGUGCGAACAAUUACAGUGUCUGCAGACGGCAUGGUUAUGACAGUCAAAAGCCAAGGGGACCAAGUACAUGCCAACCGACUUGAAGAAGAUCCAGGAAGAGUUCUUGGCGAAAGUGAACAAGAUGACCCAACACGGCUUUGUCCUAUAGUAUGGGACAAUGGAGGUUUGAUGAGAAAGGCACUGCCCAAGAUACGAUAACUGAUCUGCCCAAGGACUAAGUCACUAAGAGAGGUUGUUUAUUGCCACAGCAGUUGAUCUUUACUGGAAAUACGGAACGCUGCCUGCCUAAGGGUGUCUGUUUUGAAUGGAAUAGAACAUUCACCGAGAGGCCCUGGGGUACUGAAGAGAGUUUGUAACUCACUGCCAUUAUUGCAGUUUAACCAAACAGCAAGCGAUCUGUUUUGGCAUUUACAAGGCACACCAGAGUCCAGCACUCUUGAAAAAGCUGCAAGAAAUCAACAUCACUCUCUUGUUUGUACCAGCUGCGGACCCUGAUUGUCUUCAGCAUCUGGAUCUCAGUGUAGAUUAUGAAUACAAGCAGAGUCAGAAAUCAUUCCUUCAUGACUGGUACAGCAACAAAGUCUUGUCAUUGCUUGACUUAUCACAGGAAUCAGGUUGCACUUCCACUGGCUAUGGUUACUGGAAUCGACUUUAUAUACUGGUUUCCUUAGUUGUUUCGAUAAUGUCUGUACUUGGGGGGUUUGCUGGUAGCAGGAUUGUAAUGACAGCCACUGAUCACGGAAUUCUUUAACUGGGUCUGUCUUUGCUAGUCCAGACAUGGAAAUCUGUCUGAUACUGGCGCACCUCGCGGUAACGGAUACCAUUGGUCAUUUGUCCAUACUGCCGACCUUCGAUCAGCUUGUCACAACAAAGGUGAACUCCCCCUUCAAGACCAGUCUCGUCCAUGCAUACCCAAUCAUCGUCUAUCAAAACGUAAUCAGUAUUGUCAUCAUGGUUUUCAGAAAUAAAACAAAAUACACUUAAUGCAGUCUUACAAUUAUAUGUACACAAAUAAAACAUUCAAUUUCACUAAUACUAAUAUGGAGGGAUACGUCACCAUCGCUGAAGACAUAAACCUCAAGGCAUGGACACUUGAAAUGAUCCAUGUGGAAUGGUUGAUAUCCCUUGAUUCAAAGAUGGAAGGCCGUGAAGAGUGGAUCACGGCUGGAUUCGUUGAGUAAAGCAGCUUUACAUGCACGUUGUUACUGUUAAUGUAUUUAUGAUGUAAACAAUGUUUGAGUUUGUUGUUUCAUGUUUUCUAAAUGAAAUAAUGCUAUUAAAUAAUGUUGCAAAAAUAGGGAUAAUAUGUCUUUUCACAGAUAGAAAAAAAUAACCAUUUAGUGUUGUUUUUUAAUGAGUAUUUGUUUCUAGUUUGUACGGUUUAAAUUUGUAUUUAAAAAAUCAACAUCGACUUAAAAUCAAAUACACAAUUUUAUUUGAAACAUAACAAAAGUGUUAUAGAG